rnacentral:lncRNA from 1 species
GUGGUAUCCGUUGAGGAAAGGAGAGGAGCUUAUGCGAUGCAGGUGAACCAGGGAGCAACAUUACUCGCUCUGGCGCUGUGUGCAGUCUUCUCACUAGUGCUGGGCAUGGAAAGCAAACGGAAGCUCCAGAUUGGGGUCAAGAAGCGGGUGGACAACUGCCCCAUCAAGUCCCGCAAGGUCUGCCAAAAAAGCUGAAAAACAUCUUCAU